CCGCGCGUCUCUACCGAUUGAAUGGUUUAGUGAGGCCUCCUGAUUGGCGCCGCCGCCCCGGCAACGGAGUAGCGGAUGCCGAGAAGUUGGUCAAACUUGAUCAUUUAGAGGAAGUAAAAGUCGUAACAAGGUUUCCGUAGGUGAACCUGCGGAAGGAUCAUUA
rnacentral:rRNA from 1 species